UUCAUAAACGGACCAUAUUUGUUAUGUUCAUUUAGUUAGGAUAUUGAUAAUACUGUAACAGAGUAUAUUUCUGUUUUCAUUUGUAAGAUCAAGGGAGCAAAAUAUUUUGCAAUUAAAUUCACGGGUUGUUUUUCAAUUAAAAAUGAACCAGAUAAGUUAGUGGUAUUUGCUCAGCAGGAAGCUCUCUCAGAGAUAUAAAUGGUGAAGCGCGCAAGCUUUAGGCACACAUCUGAAAACAUGGCCAAGGAACAAGCAAUACAUUUUCUUCUCUUGCUGACUCUAGCAUUGGUCUUGGCUGUUCAAUGCGCUCCUGCUGGCAUGUAUCAAAACAUUAAUAUAUUAUCAUUUAAGUCAUCCUUAGAUUAGCAAGAAUGGAUCUUACUGGUUUUCAUUCUUUACAAUAUAAUGGCUUUUGCCAUUUCCAAUCAAUGUUCAAAAUUUCGUUAAUUUUGAUUUAUUUGUAAUUUCAGAAAGCUCUCAACCAGACACUGAAGAAAGGGAUAAGCGCGUCUUUCCUUGGCUUAUCGCUGGUGCAAGUUGGUUGGUAGGAAAGAUUACUGGAUAAAGCAGGAACUGUGAAAUGAAGAACAAAGCUGAGAUGACCCAACGUUUUGAACAAGUAGUGUAAUGAUGCAUUUUUGUGGAGCCGGCAAUUUAAUAAAUUGUUAUCAAUGAAUUCAUAGUAA